CACGAAGUUAGCCGGGGCUUAUUCUGCGGGUACCGUCAUUAUCGUCCCCGCCAAAAGAGCUUUACAACCCUAAGGCCUUCGUCACUCACGCGGCAUGGCUGGAUCAGGCUUGCGCCCAUUGUCCAAUAUUCCC
rnacentral:rRNA from 1 species